GACGAACGCUGGCGGCGCGCCUAACACAUGCAAGUCGAACGGAGCUGAGAGAAGCUUGCUUUUCUUAGCUUAGUGGCGAACGGGUGAGUAACGCGUGAGUAACCUGCCCUGGAGUGGGGGACAACAGUUGGAAACGACUGCUAAUACCGCAUAAGCCCACGAUCCGGCAUCGGAUUGAGGGAAAAGGAUUUAUUCGCUUCAGGAUGGACUCGCGUCCAAUUAGCUAGUUGGUGAGGUAACGGCCCACCAAGGCGACGAUUGGUAGCCGGACGGAGAGGUUGAACGGCCACAUUGGGACUGAGACACGGCCCAGACUCCUACGGGAGGCAGCAGUGGGGGAUAUUGCACAAUGGGGGAAACCCUGAUGCAGCGACGCCGCGUGGAGGAAGAAGGUUUUCGGAUUGUAAACUCCUGUCGUUAGGGACGAUAAUGACGGUACCUAACAAGAAAGCACCGGCUAACUACGUG
rnacentral:rRNA from 1 species